GGUUUAUUCUUUCUUCUCCCACUGACCUCCGAGAAUUCUUUAGAGGGCCUUGGCAUUUUUCAUUCCUCCAUUGGAUACGAGUGCUGCAUUUUAAUGGUGGAGAGAACUCCAGGAGAGGAACCAUUGUUAUGAAAUCAAACUGAGACAGACAUCUGUUUGGAAGACUCAGGCUCAUCUCUCAUUUCCCCAAAGCACUUCAUCAAGGUUAAAUAAGAAAAC
rnacentral:lncRNA from 1 species